rnacentral:rRNA from 2 species
UGGGGGAUAACGUUCGGAAACGAACGCUAAUACCGCAUACGUCCUACGGGAGAAAGCAGGGGACCUUCGGGCCUUGCGCUAUCAGAUGAGCCUAGGUCGGAUUAGCUAGUUGGUGAGGUAAUGGCUCACCAAGGCGACGAUCCGUAACUGGUCUGAGAGGAUGAUCAGUCACACUGGAACUGAGACACGGUCCAGACUCCUACGGGAGGCAGCAGUGGGGAAUAUUGGACAAUGGGCGAAAGCCUGAUCCAGCCAUGCCGCGUGUGUGAAGAAGGUCUUCGGAUUGUAAAGCACUUUAAGUUGGGAGGAAGGGCAGUUACCUAAUACGUGAUUGUUUUGACGUUACCGACAGAAUAAGCACCGGCUAACUCUGUGCCAGCAGCCGCGGUAAUACAGAGGGUGCAAGCGUUAAUCGGAAUUACUGGGCGUAAAGCGCGCGUAGGUGGUUUGUUAAGUUGGAUGUGAAAUCCCCGGGCUCAACCUGGGAACUGCAUUCAAAACUGACUGACUAGAGUAUGGUAGAGGGUGGUGGAAUUUCCUGUGUAGCGGUGAAAUGCGUA